GACCAGGGAUCAGCGGAU
rnacentral:siRNA from 1 species